ACACGACUACAUUAGAUACCCGUGUAGUCCUAGCCGUAAACGAUACUCGCUAGGUGUCGGCCACGGUGCGACCGUUGUCGGUGCCGUAGGGAAGCCGUGAAGCGAGCCACCUGGGAAGUACGGUCGCAAGGCUGAAACUUAAAGGAAUUGGCGGGGGAGCACCGCAACGGGAGGAGCGUGCGGUUCAAUUGGAUUCAACGCCGGACAACUCACCAGGAGCGACGGUUACAUGAAGGCCAGGCUGAUGACCUUGCCUGAUUUUCCG
rnacentral:rRNA from 1 species